AACCCACUGAACUUUCAACACAUGGGAACCUGGGAAGCAGGGAAUUGGAACAGGGGAAGGGAAGGGAAAGAUUGAUGAUGAUGAGUGAAUGGCCGGAGCAACACGGUGGCGGCCUAGUGGUGGCGUUAGGGUAGCGGCAGUGGCGAAAGGUGGGUGCACAGUAAAACAGGGUCUUGCCUUGUUCUUGGUUUCUCAGACAGCGAAGAGGGAGAUGGAAUAAGAAGGUUGCGGCGACGCUAGCGACGGUGGAACGCUGGGCCAUCGCGGUCAGGAAGAGCUAGUGGCUCUGGGCUCACGGAGAAAGGGGUGGUGGUUGCGGCGGCGUAAUGAUUUUGGUAGUGAUUUUGCGGCGACGACGCUAGCGCGUAAUGGAGACGACGACGUAGAAGAAGAAAAACAGGCAGUAAGUAAAGGCAAAGAACUACAGUGCAGCACCCUUUUGCAUACAAGAGCUUAAUGUCUCAAGAGCUUCUAAUGGACUGUCACAGUCUAACAUUCUCCAUCAACGAAUAAGGGGAAUCAAUAUACACCACUAUU